rnacentral:rRNA from 1 species
AUGUACAUGGCGUACGGGUGGCCGCAGUCGAUCCCGCUGGACCCGGGCGAGUCCGACGGCGCGGUCCUCCUCCGCGUCCUCGGCCGCCUCCUCCUCGCCGUCUGCCCCGCCUCGCUCCACCUCUGGUCCGCCUCCCACCACAAGGUCCGCCUCGCCCGCCUCGACCGCUCCCCGGACUCCCUCGCCGCGCACGGCCCCAACGCCCACGCCGUCUGGAGCCCCGACGCCAAGACCGUCGCCGUCCUGACCUCCUCCUUCUACCUCCACAUAUACAAGGUGCAGCUCUCGGGGAAGCCGCUGAUCGUCGGGGGCAAGCAGCUCCCCGGGCUCUGCCUCGCCGGUCUAUCCCAAAUAAUCGUCGAGAAGGUCCCUCUGGCCAACGACAUUUCUAUAACGAGCAAUUUCGCGUGCGACAGCAAGAGCAUGCUCCUUGGGCUGUCCAACGGGCACUUGCAGGUCGUGUCCUGGAAUGCUGAGUUCUCGGACAGCUUCAAGCUUCGUUGCUCCGCAUGCUCGCCCGACAAAACCGCUGCCGUUGUAGAUGCUUUGGUGUUUGACCCGCCUAGCUUGCGAGGAAAUUCUAAUGCAAGGCCUGCUCCCUGCUGCACAGGGGAUUUUGCUAUCGUCCAUGUUGAGUUGUCGGUGAAGCUAAGAUUGCUCGUUGCUGUGUACUCAGACUGUCAGGUUGCGCUCUGUACGGUCGGUAAGAAGGGAUUGAAGCAAACCAGCGGCAUCAGGGUAGACAGAUGGUUGAACACUGGUGAUGCAAUGUGUACUUCUGUGGCUUCCGAACAGCAGAUUCUUGCCGUCGGGUGCAGCAGAGGUGUUGUUGAAUUGUAUGACCUGGCUGAGAAUGCGCGGCAUAUUCGCACUCUUUCUUUGUUUGAUUGGGGGUAUUCAGUGGAAGAUACAGGUCCUGUUACUUGUAUAUCUUGGACGCCUGACAAUUGUGCUUUUGCAGUUGGAUGGAAAUUUAGGGGACUUACUGUUUGGUCUGUAUCUGGAUGUCGGUUGAUGUGCACAUUUCGUCAAGCCGGAUCGAAUUCUGCUUUGUCUCCAAUGGUUAAACCUAAUGCCCAAAAAUUUGAGCCUCUAAUGGGUGGGACAUCACACAUUCAAUGGGAUGAUUAUGGAUAUAAAUUAUUUGCAGUUGAAGAAAGCUUAUCAGAAAGGGUUCUUGCUUUCUCAUUUGCCAAAUGUUGCCUCAACAGAGGACUUUCGAGCACAACAUAUACUCGCCAGAUUCUUUAUGGCGAAGAUCGAAUCCUGUUAGUGCAACCUGAUGAUACUGAUGAACUUAAGAUAUUGCAUCUUAAUGUUCCAGUGUCCUAUAGUUCACAGAACUGGCCAGUUCUGCAUGUAGUUGCAAGUGAUGAUGGCAUGUACUUGGCAGUUGCUGGCUCUCGUGGCCUAGUGCUGUAUGAUUUGCGAAACAAAAGAUGGCGUUUUUUUGGGGAUGUUACUCAAGAGCAAAAGAUUCAAUGCAAAGGCUUGUUGUGGUUGGGUAAAAUAGUCAUCGUAUGCAAUUAUGUUGAAUCAUCAAACACGUACGAGCUGCUGUUUUUCCCAAGAUAUCACCUUGAUCAUAGCUCCUUACUUUACCGGAAACCACUGCUUGGUAGACCCAUUGUCAUGGAUGUCUUUCAGGAUUACAUUCUUGUUACCUACAGUCCAUUUGAUGUGCAUAUAUUCCAUGUGAUGAUCUCGGGAGAAUUGUCACCUACCAGUAGUCCAGUUUUACAGCUUUCAACAGUUCGAGAACUUUCAAUUAUGAGUCCAAAGAGCCCACCUGUUUCAAUGCGCUUGAUUCCUGAACCAACUGAUGAAGGUGUGCUGAAGCGGGAUACAAAUGAAUCUUCUAACCUGUCGUCCCAACAACCUUCAAGAUGUCUGAUCUUGCGGGUGAAUGGGGAACUUUCUGUGCUGGACAUGGAUGAUGGACAUGAGCAAGCACUUACAAAUUCAGUUGAACUCUUCUGGGUCGUCGGUUCUCAAGAAGAAGAGAAGAGUAAUCUUAUCAAAGAGGUUUCAUGGCUUGACUAUGGCCAUCAAGGGAUGCAGGUAUGGUACCCAUCACAUGGAGCAAAUCCUUUUAGGCAAGAGGAUUUUCUGCAGUUGGAUCCAGAGCUUGAAUUUGACCGUGAGGUGUAUCCUCUUGGUCUCCUGCCAAAUGUUGGUGCAGUUGUUGGUGUUUCUCAGAGGACGUCCUUUUCAACCGCAGAGUUCCCAUGCUUUGAGCCUUCUCCAAAAGCGCAAACAAUAUUGCAUUGUUUACUACGGCAUCUUCUUCAGAGAGACAAACAUGAAGAAGCUUUACGUUUGGCAAACUUGUCAGCAGAGAAACCUCACUUCUCUCACUGUUUAGAGUGGCUUCUGUUUACGGUAUUUGAAGCAGAUAUAUCAAGGCCAAGUGCUUCAAAAAAUCAACUUCCACAAAAAAGUGAAUCUCCAAAGAAGUCUCUUUUAGAGAAGACAUGUGACCUACUUCGAAAUUUUUCUGAAUAUAUGGAUGUAGUAGUCAGUGUUGCUAGGAAAACUGAUGGCCGGCACUGGGCAGAUCUUUUCUCUGCAGCUGGACGAUCCACAGAGAUGUUCGAGGAAUGUUUCCAACGGAGAUGGUACAGGACUGCUGCUUGCUACAUACUGGUCAUUGCUAAGCUGGAAGGCCCUGCUGUCAGUCAGUAUUGUGCACUCCGUUUGCUUCAAGCUACACUCGAUGAAUCUCUGUACGAGCUUGCUGGGGAGCUGGUCCGCUUCUUGCUAAGGUCUGGCAGAGACUUUGAAAAUGCCAAUACGGACUCUGAAAAACUAUCUCCAAGGUUUAUGGGCUAUCUUCUAUUCCGUUCGCCAUACAAAAGACAAUCUUCUGACUUGAAAAGUAACUCAAUGAAAGAACUUAGCCCACAUAUUAACUCUGUUAUGAACAUUCUGGAGAGCCAUGCCAGCUAUUUGAUGUCUGGCAAGGAACUUUCAAAGCUCGUUGCUUUUGUCAAAGGGACUCAAUUUGAUCUUGUGGAAUAUCUUCAGCGAGAAAGGCAAGGGUCUGCCCGACUGGAGAAUUUUGCAUCUGCACUUGAACUAAUUGGAGAAAAGCUCCAAAUGGACACACUUCAGAGCCGGCUAGAUGCUGAGUUCCUUCUUGCUCAUAUGUGUUCUGUCAAGUUUAAGGAAUGGAUUGUCGUGCUAGCAACUUUAUUGAGGCGUGCAGAGGUUUUGGUGGAUCUCUUUCGACAUGAUCUGAGGUUGUGGAAAGCAUAUAGCAUCACUCUACAGUCACACGAUGUAUUCAGCGAGUACCUUGAUCUUCUUAGUGCCUUGGAGGAGGAGCUUUCGUCUGUUUCCGAUCGCACAUUGCAAAGCAACGGACCGGUGUCGUGA